rnacentral:lncRNA from 1 species
UGGCUUUUGCGUAUCAGCCCCUGCACUGCAUUGCAUGAUCCUGUUGAACAGAAGAGAGAAGAAAUUGAGGCAUAGUUAAUGUUGAAAAGCUGUAAGACAGGUAGUAAAUAUUAGCCCCUAAGGUAUAAAACAU